AGUUCGGAUUGUAGUCUGCAACUCGACUACAUGAAGCUGGAAUCGCUAGUAAUCGCGAAUCAGCAUGUCGCGGUGAAUACGUUCCCGGGUCUUGUACACACCGCCCGUCGCACCAUGGGAGCCGGAAAUGCCCGAAGCCAGUGACCCAACCUUAGGGAGGGAGCUGUCGAAGGUGGAGCCGGUAACUGGGGUGAAGUCGUAACAAGGUAAC
rnacentral:rRNA from 1 species